rnacentral:rRNA from 1 species
UCAGGAUAAACGCUGGCGGCGCACAUAAGACAUGCAAGUCGAACGAACUUAAUCCUUAGUUUACUAUAGGAAGCGGUUAGUGGCGGACUGGUGAGUAACGCGUAAGCAAUCUGCCUAUCAGAGGGGAACAACAGUGAGAAAUCACUGCUAAUACCGCAUAUGCUGUGAGUACGGCAUCGUACAAACAGGAAAGGAGCAAUCCGCUGAUAGAUGAGCUUGCGUCUGAUUAACCUGUUGGUGAGGUAACGGCCCACCAAGGUGAUGAUCAGUAGCCGGACUGAGAGGUUAAACGGCCACAUUGGGACUGAGAUACGGCCCAGACUCCUACGGGAGGCAGCAGUCGGGAAUAUUGCGCAAUGGAGGAAACUCUGACGCAAGUGACGCCGCGUGCAGGAUGAAGGUUUUCGGAUUGUAAACUGCUUUAGAUAGGGAAGAAACAAAUGACGGUACCUAUAGAAUAAGCUCCGGCUAACUACGUGCCAGCCGCAGC